GGUGGAUAACCGGAAGAAAUUCCGACUAAUACAGCAUAACACUCCUGAGGGACAUCCUUCGGGAGUCAAAGGAGGUAACUCCGGUGACGGAUGGGCAUGCGGCGCAUUAGGUAGUUGGUAGGGUAACGGCCUACCAAGCCGACGAUGCGUAGGGGUUCUGAGAGGAAGGUCCCCCACAUUGGAACUGAGACACGGUCCAAACUCCUACGGGAGGCAGCAGUGAGGAAUAUUGGUCAAUGGCCGGAAGGCUGAACCAGCCAAGUCGCGUGAGGGAAUAAGGCCCUAUGGGUCGUAAACCUCUUUUGUCAGGGAGCAAAGGCGUCCACGUGUGGACGAGAGGAGAGUACCUGAAGAAAAAGCAUCGGCUAACUCCGUGCCAGCAGCCGCGGUAAUACGGAGGAUGCGAGCGUUAUCCGGAUUUAUUGGGUUUAAAGGGUGCGUAGGCGGAGUGUCAAGUCAGCGGUAAAAUUUCGGGGCUCAACCCCGUCGUGCCGUUGAAACUGACACCCUUGAGUGAGUGAGAAGUAAGCGGAAUGCGUGGUGUAGCGGUGAAAUGCAUAGAUAUCACGCAGAACGCCGAUUGCGAAGGCAGCUUACCGGCGCUCAACUGACGCUGAGGCACGAAAGUGCGGGUAUCGAACAGGAUUAGAUACCCUGGUAGUCCGCACAGUAAAC
rnacentral:rRNA from 1 species